AUACGUAGGGUGCGAGCGUUGUCCGGAAUUACUGGGCGUAAAGAGCUCGUAGGUGGUUUGUCGCGUCGUCUGUGAAAUUCCGGGGCUUAACUCCGGGCGUGCAGGCGAUACGGGCAUAACUUGAGUACUGUAGGGGAGACUGGAAUUCCUGGUGUAGCGGUGAAAUGCGCAGAUAUCAGGAGGAACACCGGUGGCGAAGGCGGGUCUCUGGGCUGAAACUGACGCUGAGGAGCGAAAGCAUGGGUGGCGAACAGGAUUAGAUACCCUGGUAGUCCAUGCCGUAAACGGUGGGCGCUAGGUGUAGGGGUCUUCCACGACUUCUGUGCCGUAGCUAACGCAUUAAGCGCCCCGCCUGGGGAGUACGGCCGCAAGGCUAAAACUCAAAGGAAUUGACGGGG
rnacentral:rRNA from 1 species